rnacentral:lncRNA from 1 species
GUGAUCUGCAGCCCCAGAUCGCCAGCCAUGCUCAGCCUCCAGUCGCCGGCCGCGGUUGGAUUGACUUGGCCCUUAACUCUUGUUUUUUUUCUUUUUGAGACGGAGUCUCACUCUGUCGCCCCGGCUGGAGUGCGGUGGCGCGAUCUCGGCUCACUGCAACCUCCGCCUCCCGGGUUCAAGCGAUUCUCUUGCCUCAGCCUCCCGAGUAGCUGGGAUUACAGGCGCGCUCCACCACGCCCGGCUAUUUUUGUAUUUUUAGUAGAGAAGGGGUUUCACCAUGUUGAUCAGGCUGGUCUCGAUCUCCUGAUCUCGUGAUCCGCUCGCCUCGGCUUCCCAAAUUGCUGCGAUUGCAGGCGUGAGCCACCGAGCCCGGCGGCCCUUAACUCUUAAUUUUUUCUUUUGCUUCUCCAGCUUCCUGAGAGGCAGCGCCAGCGUUUCUCUUAACCCUAGCUACAUUUGAAGAAUCUCUGUUAAAGAAAAAUAGCUACCCCAUAUGCUAAUCGUAAGGAGAGAAGUAUAGGCUAGUUUAUAUAAAAAUCUCAAAAAGUUUGGAGGUGCCAUAAGGCACAUUUAUUCAUUUCUCAACUAUGAUUAUGACUUGAGGGUUGGAGAAAUUUUUAUCUGAGUAACUUUGGCAGACUAACCUGUGUCUGCGUUCGUGCAGAAUUUUUCAAGCUUAAAACAUUUGUAGAGGUCACUACCAUAUAUAGUUUCCAUUUUUUUGCUAACAUUUUGGGUGCGACUUUAUUUCAGUAUUAUUAAAUGCACAGCCAUUGAAUAUGCUAGAGUUAAAUGAAAUAAAGUGCUGUUUUUCAAAAAUGAAAUAAAACAAGUGACAUAAAAAAUUCAAAAUUUGGCCAAAAGUAUUAAUAUUUAUUAACAAACUGAGAGCUCCCCACGACUUCUCUUCCCAGAAAACCUGGUAAAGUUUGCACACAAUACAAAGCGGUAAAUAUUUGCCAAAUGAAAUACAACGCAAGGAAGAAGACUUUUCUCAGCCCUCUAGUGGGAAAGAAAGGAGAAAGCUUAAGGUGGCUGCUUUGACCAUCACACUCCACUCCAGCGGUUGCUUUUUUUUGGAA